AGUGAACGCUGGCGGCAGGCCUAACACAUGCAAGUCGAGCGGCAGCGCGUCCGACCACCCUCGGGUGGUCGGAUGGCGGCGAGCGGCGGACGGGUGAGGAAUGCAUCGGAAUCUGCCUCGUUGUGGGGGAUAACGUAGGGAAACUUACGCUAAUACCGCAUACGACCUACGGGUGAAAGUGGGGGACCUUCGGGCCUCACGCGAUGAGAUGAGCCGAUGCCGGAUUAGCUAGUUGGCGGGGUAAAGGCCCACCAAGGCGACGAUCCGUAGCUGGUCUGAGAGGAUGAUCAGCCACACUGGAACUGAGACACGGUCCAGACUCCUACGGGAGGCAGCAGUGGGGAAUAUUGGACAAUGGGGGCAACCCUGAUCCAGCCAUGCCGCGUGUGGGAAGAAGGUCCUCUGGAUUGUAAACCUCUUUUGGCAGGAAACAAACCUGCGCUAUACGCGCAGCUGAGGGUACCUGCAGAAUAAGCACCGGCUAACUCCGUG
rnacentral:rRNA from 1 species